rnacentral:rRNA from 1 species
UACGUAGGGUGCAAGCGUUAAUCGGAAUUACUGGGCGUAAAGCGUGCGCAGGCGGUUUCGUAAGUCUGAUGUGAAAUCCCCGGGCUCAACCUGGGAAUUGCAUUGGAGACUGCAAGGCUAGAAUCUGGCAGAGGGGGGUAGAAUUCCACGUGUAGCAGUGAAAUGCGUAGAGAUGUGGAGGAACACCGAUGGCGAAGGCAGCCCCCUGGGUCAAGAUUGACGCUCAUGCACGAAAGCGUGGGGAGCAAACAGG